GUCGCUCCAACUUCCCUGCUCCGGCGGCGAGGCUGGCGGCCAGACCAGUGCGCUAUCCAUUUUAAUGAAGUAGAGGGAUUGCCUUUCAUCAGAGUCUGUGAGGGGGAGAGAAGAUGAGGACUUUUUUCUCCUUUCUUUCUUUAUGGCUCAUCUCAAUAUUGAAGGGGGUUCUUCCACUGGCACAUGAAGCAGGGCACAUGUGGAAUGACACAAGCUCUGACAAGACUCUGACAGCUCUGAUGACCGGCAACGGCCUCAGAAGUUUGACCUGAUUAAUUCAGCACCUGUCAAAAAAGCACAGCGGUGAGGAGACAGGAUGUGUUUUUUAAAAAAGUAGUAAAAGGACAGUCGCUCUGUGGCACAUCGGCUCGCGGGAAUAAAAAAAAACAGUGUUCGGUGGAGCUGGCAGCUCAUUUCUAGCCCCGGAAGACGCUUUCAAAAAGAGAUGUCUGGAACUUUUCUCCUUCACAUUGUGAACAUCUCCAGGCCAUUAAGCUGUGAUCCCCACCUAAAAGGUUUCCUGGGCUGCCUGGGUGUGUACAAGGCAGGUCCUGGAUCCACUCCAGUCCUCCUUUCACUCAUCAGGGGAGAACACCGAUGUGGCAGUGGUCUUAUUCAUAUGUAUAAUUAUGUGAGAUGAAACCUUUAUGGCCAGAGAAGCUCGUCUGUGGCAGCGACUCCAGGGCCAGCUGUUUCUGCCCAUCUGGCUGGACUAAAUGGGCCACUGCAGCCCACAGAUGGCAGCUUGUUUAUGCGUCUUUGCUGUUCAGGAAGUCAUCCAUCCAUAGCUCUGCCCAGCGCUGCCUUCAUAAACAAGCGCAGGGGACAGAAGAGAGCGAGGUAAUUGUUAUGAAUGGAUGGAAUCGGAGGAGAAAACAAAGAGGGCUUGGAGAAAACAAACCUAAUGUGCUCCAUGACAAGGGGAAUUAAUCUGGGGCUCCUUAAAGAGCCGCGAGCCACCGCCGCAGCUCCAGGCUCAGCCACAGCCGCGCUGGCUUGAUUGACUGGUUAACUGGCCGUACUGCAUAUUCAUCAGAGCAGGGCCCUGGGGUCUGCCUCUC